UAUGAUAGAGGUGCGAUCGACAAGAGUAGCCCCGGCAUGCGCGGCGGGAACCGCGAGGGGUGAAAGGGGAGACCGCCGAAGGCUGUCCGUGUUCCUGUGCGGAUGGGCCUGGGUCGCCGGAAAAUAUCCGGCGGGCUGUCACCCCGGGAGGGUGGAGCGCUGUCA
rnacentral:ncRNA from 1 species